rnacentral:rRNA from 1 species
GACGAACGUUGGCGGCGUGCUUAACACAUGCAAGUCGAACGGAAAGGCCCUGCUUUUGUGGGGUGCUCGAGUGGCGAACGGGUGAGUAACACGUGAGUAACCUGCCCUUGACUUUGGGAUAACUUCAGGAAACUGGGGCUAAUACCGGAUAGGAGCUCCUGCUGCAUGGUGGGGGUUGGAAAGUUUCGGCGGUUGGGGAUGGACUCGCGGCUUAUCAGCUUGUUGGUGGGGUAGUGGCUUACCAAGGCUUUGACGGGUAGCCGGCCUGAGAGGGUGACCGGCCACAUUGGGACUGCGAUACGGCCCAGACUCCUACGGGAGGCAGCAGUGGCGAAUAUUGCACAAUGGGCGGAAGCCUGAUGCAGCAACGCCGCGUGCGGGAUGACGGCCUGCGGGUUGUAAACCGCUUUCGCCUGUGACGAAGCGUGAGUGACGGUAAUGGGUAAAGAAGCACCGGCUAACUACGUG